GAUGAAGAACGCAGCGAAAUGCGAUAAGUAAUGUGAAUUGCAGAAUUCAGUGAAUCAUCGAAUCUUUGAACGCACAUUGCGCCCCCUGGUAUUCCGGGGGGCAUGCCUGUUCGAGCGUCAUUUCACCACUCGAGCCUCGCUUGGUAUUGGGCAUCGCGGUCCGCCGCGCGCCUCAAAUCGACCGGCUGGGUCUUCUGUCCCCUAAGCGUUGUGGAAACUAUUCGCUAAAGGGUGUUCGGGAGGCUACGCCGUAAAACAACCCCAUUUCUAAGGUUGACCUCGGAUCAGGUAGGGAUACCCGCUGAACUUAAGCAUAUCAAUAAGCGGAGGA
rnacentral:misc_RNA from 1 species